rnacentral:piRNA from 1 species
UGGUCUUGUGAUGUCCUCAACCCCUUUGGUUC